GAUGAACGCUGGCGGCGUGCCUAAUACAUGCAAGUCGAGCGAACAGACGAGGAUCUUGCUCCUCUGACGUUAGCGGCGGACGGGUGAGUAACACGUGUAUAACCUCCCUAUAAGACUGGGAUAACUUCGGGAAACCGGAGCUAAUACCGGAUAAUAUAUUGAACCGCAUGGUUCAAUAGUGAAAGACGGUUUUGCUGUCACUUAUAGAUGGAUCCGCGCCGCAUUAGCUAGUUGGUAAGGUAACGGCUUACCAAGGCAACGAUGCGUAGCCGACCUGAGAGGGUGGUCGGCCACACUGGAACUGAGACACGGUCAAGACUCCUACGGGAGGCAGCAGUAGGGAAUCUUCCGCAAUGGUCGAAAGCCUGACGGAGCAACGCCGCGUGAGUGAUGAAGGUCUUCGGAUCGUAAAACUCUGUUAUUAGUGAAGAACAAAUGUGUAAGUAACUAUGCACGUCUUGACGGUACCUAAUCAGAAAGCCACGGCUAACUACGUG
rnacentral:rRNA from 1 species